UAACAGCCUGCUAUGAAGCCCAAGCCACAAAGAGAGGCCAAGGGGAAAUAAACAGAGUGUGAUUAUAUGCAAAACCUACAAGAAUGAGGACCUCCAAACUCAGUGUACAGAGUGAUUUUCUGCUGAAACAAUUGGAAAAUAAAAGAGACAUCAGUGUGUGAAUGACGACUUUCUGUUGCUGACUUGGAAGACAGAGGAAUUGGGUCAUGAGCCGAGGAAGGUGGGCAGCUUCUAAAAGGCGGAAAAGGUGAGUAAACUGAUUUUCCCCUAGAACCUCCAGAAAUGGAGACAACUUUGCCAAGACCUUGAUUUUAC
rnacentral:lncRNA from 10 species